rnacentral:rRNA from 1 species
UAACGCGAAGAACCUUACCAGCCCUUGACAUCCCGGUCGCGGACUCCAGAGACGGAGUUCUUCAGUUCGGCUGGACCGGAGACAGGUGCUGCAUGGCUGUCGUCAGCUCGUGUCGUGAGAUGUUGGGUUAAGUCCCGCAACGAGCGCAGCCCUCGUCUCCAGUUGCCAUCAGGUUAUGCUGGGCACUUUGGAGAAACUGCCGGUGACAAGCCGGAGGAAGGUGGGGAUGACGUCAAGUCCUCAUGGCCCUUACGGGCUGGGCUACACACGUGCUACAAUGGCGGUGACAAUGGGAUGCGAAGGGGCGACCCGGAGCCGAUCCUAAAAAACCGUCUCAGUUCGGAUUGCACUCUGCAACUCGAGUGCAUGAAGGUGGAAUCGCUAGUAAUCGAGGAUCAGCAUGCCUCGGUGAAUACGUUCCCGGGUCUUGUACACACCGA